rnacentral:rRNA from 1 species
AUCAUGGCUCAGAAUGAACGUGAGCGGCGUGGAUUAGGCAUGCAAGUCGUGCGGAAAGGCUCCUUCGGGAGUACUCGAGCGGCGAAAGGGAGAGUAACGCGUGGAUAUCUACCCUCGGAUCUGGGAUAGCGGUGGGAAACUGCCGGUAAUACCAGAUAACGUCUCCGGACCAAAGGUGUGAUUCCGUCCGAGGAUGAGUCCGCGUCCUAUUAGCUUGUUGGUGGGGUAAUGGCCUACCAAGGCUGUGAUGGGUACCGGGUGUGAGAGCAUGGCCCGGCUCACUGGGACUGAGACACUGCCCGGACACCUACGGGUGGCUGCAGUCGAGAAUCUUCGGCAAUGGGCGCAAGCCUGACCGAGCGACGCCGCGUGCGGGAUGAAGGCCUUCGGGUUGUAAACCGCUGUCAGAGGGGAGGAAAUGCAUGAGGGUUCUCUCUCAUGUUUGACCGAUCCUCAGAGGAAGUACGGGCUAAGUUCGUGCCAGCAGCCGCGGUAAUACGAACCGUACGAACGUUAUUCGGAAUCACUGGGCUUAAAGAGUGCGUAGGCGGCCUGGUAAGUUGGGUGUGAAAGCCCUCGGCUCAACCGAGGAAUUGCGCCCAAAACUACUAGGCUUGAGGGAGGCGGAGGUAAGCGGAACUAAUGGUGGAGCGGUGAAAUGCGUUGAUAUCAUUAGGAACACCUGAGGCGAAAGCAGCUUACUGGGCCUCUUCUGACGCUGAGGCACGAAAGCUAGGGGAGCGAACGGGAUUAGAUACCCCGGCAGUCCUAGCUGUAAACGAUGAGCACUGGAUUGAGGGGACUUCCACAUCUUCUCGGUCGUAGCGAAAGUGUUAAGUGCUCCGCCUGGGGAGUAUGGUCGCAAGGCUGAAACUCAAAGGAAAU